rnacentral:rRNA from 1 species
UCGGAUUGCAGGCUGCAACUCGCCUGUAUGAAGCGGAAUUGCUAGUAAUCGUGGAUCAGCAUACCACGGUGAAUACGUUCCCGGGCCUUGUACACACCGCCCGUCACACCAUGAGAGCCGGGAACACCCGAAGUCCGUAGUCUAACCUAUAUGGAGGACGCGGCCGAAGGUGGGUUUGGUAAUUGGGGUGAAGUCGUAACAAGGUACC